GGAUGGGGAAUGGGGAAUUGAGCAAGACGGGCUGUUCUGAGUCAGAUCUUCAGGAAUUUAGAAUUAGGCAAGAGACGAGAGGUCGGCUUCUCCCUGGGUAGCUGGACGCUCCCUCUGCCCGAUUGGGAGAGUUGGUGUCUAUUUUUUCAGUGGAGAAAACUGAGAACAUAGUCCAAACGAACAGAGCGGGGAGCUGGGGAGAACGGCCUGGAUGCCUUACAGCUUUUCAGUCCCCGGUCCCCAGCCCCGUCCUCAGGGCGUCUUAUUAUUCCUUGGCUUCUUUGAGCCAUUACCGACUCCUUAUGAUACUCCCCAGGAUUCUCCUGUUCUCUUGUCUCACUUAAACUUGGCCUGAGUGGUUCUCGUUACUUACACCUUCGAGGGUCCUCCCUGGGAAAACGGCUCAGAAAUGUUCGUGAUCCCAAGAAGCCUGAACACCUGCUGUCUGAGAAAUGACAGGCCCACCGUCCCGUGUCCUAACCGUCAGUGGCCUCUCUGCUGGGUCGUGCCAGGCGCGGUCUCUGUUUAAGUCCCUACAGACUGCGGUCAUCAUCGCUAUUCACAGGCAAGUCCUCGUUUUAGUGCACAGAGGGCGAAGAAGGAUUAAAUCCGUUACAGUUAUUGCUGAGGAUCCAACUUUACACCAUGAGACCAUGUUCAGAGUUACCACGCAUCACGAGAGAACAGAAGGGUGACGUGUAAUCGCGCAUGUGUUACCGAUGUCUGGAGAAGCGUUUUCUGGACCAGCACGUCGGGAGGAAGAGCCCAAGAAGAGCAACAUACUCGGAACUGGACCACACAGAUGCAAACAUGGAAGUCCAGAAGGUGACAUGGCAGAAGGGACCCAGAGUAGAGUUUGGUCAAGGAGAAAAAUCUCUAUCUGUAGGGGCUCAGGCUUCAACGUGGAUGAACCCUAAAAACGUUAUGUUAAGUGAAGGAGGCCAGACACAAAAGGCCGCACGGUUACAUGAUUCCGCUGCUGUGAAAUAUUCAGAAGAGGCGGGUUCACAGAGACAAAGGUUAAUGGUCUCUGGGGCCUGGGUCUAACUAGCCUGGGGUUUCUUUCCGCGGUGAUGAAAAUGUUCUGAAAUUAAUUAGCGGCGAGGGCGCAUGAUUUGGUGACUGGACUAGAAACCGCUGAAUUGCACAUCUUAAAGGGGUGGAUUUCGUGGUGUGCGAAUGACCUCUCAAUUUCUUAAAAGUUAGCAUGCAUCUUUUCUUCAUCUGAACCCUAGAGCACUUAUGAGCCACCCCUGCAGUGGUCAUCUUACCAGAUGCCCACACCAAACACCAGCCCCGUGAUCUAAAGGAGGGGUCAAGGGGUCCUGUCCUUCCCUCACCGCUUAGUGGGAGGUUUCAGUGAGUACUCUCAGAAAGUACUUAGCGCGUACUGAGCUGGUCUUGGGGGCCGACGGUCUGCAUUUGUCACCAGCUCCCAGGUGGAUAAUGUUGAUCGACGUCCCUGUUUCUGAGCAGUAAGACUGAUAAGUAAGACUCUACUUAUCAGCGAGGGCUUCCUGGAGGAGGCGGUCAGACCAGGUUUUGAAGGCAGAAGGGACAUAGAUGGUUUAACAGGGCAGACGAUGAUAUUCCAGAAGGAAUAAAAUGGUUGAAAGGUGGAAACACGCAAGGCAGAUGCACACAGUAACAAGUAGACUGACUCAGCAAUGCCAGAGAGGCGAGGACACAUGGCAGAAAAACAAAUAAAUAAUCGAUCGAAGAACUUCGGUGGCCGUCUUAUGACGUCUGGAUGUGUCACACUCCACCAGCAAUUCUGAGGCUAUGUUUGCUGGGGCACCAAUGGCAUGUGAGCUAUUCACAGGGAUCUGUCUGGCUGUGCAGUCAGAUUAAGAGAGGGAAUUCUGGAGUCCUACAUUUAUUUUUUUAACUUCAUUUUGAAGAUGCUUCUUUCUCUUCUCAAGGCAGAGUGCACGUUUCCCGCUCUCUUUUAAAAAGGGGUUCACGACACUAGGUAUGCGUCUUUUCCAAGGUGCCAAAUGCCGUGACUUUUCUCUCUCUCUCUUUGAAAAGGUGAUUUCCAAUCCUGACUGUACUUUCGAAUGAUCUAAGGAGCUUCUUAGAAAAUAUCACUGCCCAAGCUUCAUCUUUAGACAUUCGGAUUUCGUAGGCCUGAGGUGGGGCUUGGGAAGCAGAAGUUUUCACCAGCUGCCCACGUGAUUCGAAGGUGCGGCCGCUGCUCAUCCAUCAGCAUCUCAGCUGACUCUGCCUCCGCAGGGGACACAGAGCAGUGUCCGCCCUGAGCUUCCACGGAUUCCCCAGUCACAAGAGGUGUCCAAGAGUCAAAGGGUGACGAGGUCUCAUCGACUCUUCAUAAAGUGCUCUCUACGCCUGACCGACUUCCGUGAGGUGUGGUCUCUUCACAGUCUUUGGGGGUUAUUGGAGAACAUUUAGGCUGUGGAGUUUGAGGAUUAAUUUCAAUAGUUGCUUGAACCUACUAGCAGAAAAAAUCAAAAGUAGGAAGAAACUAAAGAGAAAAAAAUCAAUGGAGGAGUGUUAUAUGGCGUCCCCCUCCAAACUCCCACAAACAGAGGAAACUCUUACAGAAUAAGAAGAGUUAGGACAGUUCUCGCUGACUAAGUGACUGCUAUGUGUCGGAUGCAUCUUUUAUGUCAUCUUUCUUACUAUGACAUUAUCUCUGAAGCAAGUACUGGAAUCCAUGUCAUCGUCUGGGAAAUCAAGUGUCAGACAAUGUCAGUUUCUUGAUCAAGGUCUCACAAGUGAUGAUCAGGGGAGUUGAGAUUCAUAUCUAUGUGCGUCUCCCUCUGAGGUUCUGACUUGUGCCCAUCCACCUAUCCCAAAGGGUACGCUAAUUCAUCUUAAAGAGAAAAAAAAAAUGUCCACAGAUAACUAGAAGAUAACCAACUCGUGGGCUAUAAAAAGCAUUGUUUUAUCCAGGAAUAAUGCCCAGCGAAGUUAACGAUUGUUGCUUUUCGAUAGGAUUACAAGAAUCACGCACAGGGAGGUAGUGGCUGUAAUAAAUCUUUAUAUGAAAAUGA